CCUACGGGUGGCAGCAGUCGAGAAUCAUUCACAAUGGGGGAAACCCUGAUGGUGCGACGCCGCGUGGGGGAAUGAAGGUCUUCGGAUUGUAAACCCCUGUCAUGUGGAAGCAAAUUAAAAAGAUAGUACCACAAGAAGAAGAGACGGAAAACGCGGUGCCAGCAGCCCCGGUAAUACAGAGGUCACAAGCGUUGUUCGUAAUCACGGGGAGUAAAGCGUGCGUAGGCUGGUGCGCAAGUCGUUUGUGAAAGGCGCGGGCUCAAGCCGCGGACGGCACAUGAUACUGCGAGACUAGAGUAAUGGAGGGGGAACCGGAAGGCUCGGUGUAGCAGUGAAAUGCGUAGAUAUCGAGAGGAACACUCGUGGCGAAGGCGGGUUCCUGGACAUUAACUGACGCUGAGGCACGAAGGCCAGGGGAGUGAAAGGGAUUAGAUACCCUUGUAGUC
rnacentral:rRNA from 1 species